rnacentral:rRNA from 1 species
UAAGGAAUAUUGGUCAAUGGGCGGAAGCCUGAACCAGCCAUCCCGCGUGCAGGAUGAAGGCCCUAUGGGUUGUAAACUGCUUUAGACUGAGAAGAAACCCCUCAAUGCGUUGGGGGCUGACGGUAUCAGUAGAAUAAGCACCGGCUAACUCCGUGCCAGCAGCCGCGGUAAUACGGAGGGUGCAAGCGUUAUCCGGAAUCACUGGGUUUAAAGGGUGCGUAGGCGGCUUGAUAAGUCAGAGGUGAAAGCCCGCAGCUUAACUGCGGAACUGCCUUUGAUACUGUUGAGCUUGAAACAGGACGAGGUUGGCGGAAUGUGGCAUGUAGCGGUGAAAUGCAUAGAUAUGCCAUAGAACACCGAUUGCGAAGGCAGCUGGCUAGACCUGAUUUGACGCUGAGGCAC